GAGCCAGCCGCCGCGGUAAGACGAACCGAGCGAACGUUGUUCGGAAUAACUGGGCUUAAAGGGCGCGUAGGCGGGCUGUCAAGUUUGGGGUGAAAUGCCACGGCUCAACCGUGGAACUGCCUCAAAUACUGACGGUCUCGAGGGAGGUAGGGGCGAGCGGAACUAAUGGUGGAGCGGUGAAAUGCGUUGAUAUCAUUAGGAACUCCGGUGGCGAAGGCGGCUCGCUGGACCUUUUCUGACGCUGAGGCGCGAAAGCUAGGGGAGCAAACGGGAUUAGAAACCCUAGUAGUCC
rnacentral:rRNA from 1 species